rnacentral:rRNA from 1 species
AACGAACGCUGGCGGCAGGCCUAACACAUGCAAGUCGAACGAACCUUUAUGGUGAGUGGCGCACGGGUGCGUAACACGUGGGAAUAUACAUUUCGGUAAGGAAUAACGUAGAGAAAUUUGCGCUAAUACCUUAUAAUGACUCCGGUCCAAAGAUUUACCGCCGAAGGAUUAGCCCGCGUCUGAUUAGGUAGUUGGUAGGGUAAAAGCCUACCAAGCCGACGAUCAGUAGCUGGUCUGAGAGGAUGAUCAGCCACACUGGAACUGAGACACGGUCCAGACUCCUACGGGAGGCAGCAGUGAGGAAUAUUGGACAAUGGGGGAAACCCUGAUCCAGCCAUGCCGCGUGAGUGACGAAGGCCUUAGGGUUGUAAAGCUCUUUCGGAUGCGAAGAUAAUGACGGUAACAUCAGAAGAAGCUCCGGCUAAAUUCGUGCCAGCAGCCGCCGCCG